AUCCUAACCCAGAAGCCCGUUCUGAAUUCGGUACUGCGCCAUUCGACUGCAGCACGUCUCGGCCCCGGUUUUUUGCGGCUGAACAGUCCUUGUCGCCAAGGUUCGGGGCCGGCUUCCGCUGCCGCGGCUUCCUGCGCGCCGCCUCCGUGUCCCCGCCCCGGCCGCGCCAUCGCCGCAGUCACUGCAGUCCUUGUCGCUGCGGUAAGCCUGUCGCUUGUCUCAGCCGCCGCCGCCGCCGCCGCCGCCGCCGCCGCCUGAUAGACCGGGCCUUCGCAGCCGCCUUCAGAGCGUCCAUCAUAAUUCUUCAACUGGAAGAUAUCAAUGGAGAUAUUGGAGAGGAAUGGGACAAGAGAAGGAGGAGAUCAUGGGAGGAAGAAGAGAAAAGUGGAAGUAGAUAAGGGAGAGAAAAAGGGUGAAAUCAUUUUUCAUCUGUACAUCACAGCUGGUCUCAAGAUGUUUUCCUUCAAGAUGAUAGGAAAUGUCUGAUGGAAAGAAGACAGGAUUAUAGAAUUUCUGGAACUUUGAUCAUAAAAUUUGAGACAUAUAUGGAACUGGUAAAGUCGCUGUGCAGAGAGAGCUGAAUAUGGCAUAUCCAGCUUUUAAAGACUGCCUAGUCCACAGCAGGAUGACAGAGCUCACACAUGUGUGCAAGGGCUUAUGUAAGUAGCUGUGUCAUACGUAGGUGAUGCAACCAUGCCACAUCUGGGUCAUGCAGAGCCUUUUCAGGUCCCUAGGGAGGGUAGGUAUUUUUGCCUGAGGACUUGUCUGUACAUGCAUGGUCCUGUAACCCAGAAGUGCCAGCCAUGCUGGCUGGCUAAAAUCAUAACAGAAUCUAUCUGUAAUCUCAGUACUUCGGAGGAAAAGGAAGGGGAAUCAGGAAUUCUAGGUUAUACUCAACUAUGUAAUGUUUCCUGCCAGGCUGAACUGCAUGAGACACUGUCUCAAAAAUGAUGAUUAUAAUCAUAAAAUAAAAGAAAAUACUGAAUAACAUUAAAAAACAAAGAAAUAUAAAUUAUUUAUAUCAUGUUUUUGGUUGUACUUGGAUUUAUACAGAAAACAAUUUAAUCAUAAUUACUUCCUACAGUAGUCUUAGGAAAAGUGUUAAAUGUUUUUCUCUUUAAUAAUGUAGCCAAAUGAUUAGGCAUAUUUUCCUUACAAUACCACUUAUAUUUGAAAGCAUGUUCUUAUUAAAUAUGUUUAGCCAUAAAAUUUGGUAAGUGUACAAACAGUAUAAAAGCUAUUCUCUACAUUUUGAGCAGUUGUGGAUCUCUGUAGUAGUCUGCAUCUGUUGCAAAAGAAGCUUACUUGAUGAGAGUUGAGAGCAAUAGUUAUGUGGGCAUAAGGAUAAGUAUUUAGAAUACAUUUAGAAAUUAUAUUAGUUUAAGGAAGUAGAAAUAGGUUCUCUUCUAGAAAGAUUCAGUUUCCUUGAAGGAUGAGUUUAUCCAUUUAUUUAUUCAAACUCAGUGUUCAUCCAUGAACACAUCUAAGUAUUGGCAUGGUUUAUAUGUUGUUUACAGUUGUUCUUAAGAUUUGGAGAUUUGUUUUUCUCCUUUAUUGAAGAAGAGUUUUAAUUUUAAUAUCGGAUAUUGCCACAUUUAUCUUUCCCAUUGUUUAAUUAUUAUAAAUAUCUUAGCACAUCAAAAUAUUUUAUUUGCUAAUCUUUUGAGGACAUAUAUAGUUUUUACUUAUAUCAUAGAAAGUUUUCAAUGACAUUCAUUGAAUGUUGACUAGCAAAUAUAAGAAGCUAAUUAUUUCUGUCAUUGUCUUAAUUCAUCCUUUUAUGGUGUAGGACCUAUUUCUAGUUAUCGUCAGUUAUUUUUGUGACAGUAUACAUUUUUCAUGAUAUGAAUUUCUAAGACCUAUAAUAUAAGGUAAAAUAUUUCUUAAUCAAGUUCUUUUAUUAUUUAAUUGACAUUUCAUUGUAACAUGAGGGCGUGCUUGGGGUUUUUGUCCUGCCUUGUACCCUACAGCCAGCAAGAUCCCAAGGAAAAUCAUACAGAUAUCUAUAAGUUAUAAAGCUGAUUGGCCUAUUACCUCAGUCUUCUUAUUAGCUCUUGUAGCUUAUAUUAACCCAUUAUUCUUAUCUAUGCUAG